rnacentral:lncRNA from 1 species
CUGGCAUGGGUUAAACUAGAUUGCUAAGUAACCUAAUUCAAGACCCAAUCUUCCAAAUUGAUCAGGUAAGUGAAGAUCGUUGGAGGUUCCCUCGUUGCCUUCCUAAGACAUCAAUAAAUUGAUCAGAUCGGCUAACGAAAUUAAUUAAAUAAUCAUGUCUCAUUAACUUGUCUUAGACACUUAUAGGUCGAUUAAUCAGAAUUG